GUCGCUCCUACCGAUUGAA
rnacentral:siRNA from 1 species